AUUUCAGCCUUUCACAGCUGAGAACUUGGUUUUCCUGGGAAGACGUGCAACAUUCAGUCAACUGCUAUCCCCAUUUUAUCGGAGUGCCUUUCAUUUUUAGAAGAUGUUUCCCUUGACAUAGGCUGAUUCCUCUGCAGUGGUUGUGGAAACGUCACGGAAUAAAUGGUAGAGUACUGUCCUGCUGACCAUAAAAAAUGGAGAUGACUGAAAAUCAAGAAAUAAAAGGAUUUUACUGCUUGAGUAAAAAACUUGAAUUCAAGUUUUC